rnacentral:rRNA from 1 species
UACGUAGGGUGCAAGCGUUGUCCGGAAUUAUUGGGCGUAAAGAGCUCGUAGGCGGUUUGUCGCGUCGAAUGUGAAAUCCCGGGGCUCAACCCCGGGCCUGCAUUCGAUACGGGCAGACUAGAGUUCGGUAGGGGAGUCUGGAAUUCCUGGUGUAGCGGUGAAAUGCGCAGAUAUCAGGAGGAACACCGAUGGCGAAGGCAGCUCGCUGGGACGGUACUGACGCUGAGGCGCGAAAGCGUGGGGAGCGAACAGG